rnacentral:rRNA from 1 species
GACGAAGGGGGCUAGCGUUGUUCGGAAUUACUGGGCGUAAAGCGAGUGUAGGUGGUUGUCGUAGUCAGGCGUGAAAGCCUUGAGCUCAACUCAAGAAAUGCGCUUGAUACUGGGCGACUAGAGGACCGGAGAGGAUAGUGGAAUUCCCAGUGUAGUGGUGAAAUACGUAGAGAUUGGGAAGAACACCAGUGGCGAAGGCGGCUAUCUGGACGGUUUCUGACACUAAGACUCGAAAGCGUGGGGAGCGAACAGG